rnacentral:rRNA from 1 species
UACGGGAGGCAGCAGUAGGGAAUCUUCCGCAAUGGGCGAAAGCCUGACGGAGCAACGCCGCGUGAGUGAUGAAGGUCUUCGGAUCGUAAAACUCUGUUAUUAGGGAAGAACAUACGUGUAAGUAACUAUGCACGUCUUGACGGUACCUAAUCAGAAAGCCACGGCUAACUACGUGCCAGCAGCCGCGGUAAUACGUAGGUGGCAAGCGUUAUCCGG